rnacentral:sRNA from 1 species
UGAGGAAGUAAAAGUCGUAACAAGGUUUCCGUAGGUGAACCUGCGGAAGGAUCAUUAGUGAUUUGAACGGUCGCCUCCUGUGCUGGCCCGCUGGGCACUGUGCACGCUGGUCGGCUUUCAUCCCAACACACCCUUGUGAACCAUUUGACCUUGCGCUGGCCUCGGCCGGCACGAGGGAUUUACAUACACUCGCAUGUAAUGAAAUCUAUACUGUGCGCAAGCACUAAUGUACAACUUUCAACAACGGAUCUCUUGGCUCUCGCAUCGAUGAAGAACGCAGCGAAAUGCGAUAAGUAAUGUGAAUUGCAGAAUUCAGUGAAUCAUCGAAUCUUUGAACGCACCUUGCACCCUUUGGUAUUCCGAAGGGUAUGCUCGUUUGAGUGUCAUUGUACUCUCACACUCUUCCUGUUUUGCGACGGGGGGAGCGGUGGACUUGGACGCGUGCUGCUUUACCGCGGCUCGUCUGAAAUGCAUUAGUGCACCGGUGGGUUGGGCAUAGUACGGCGUGAUAAGUAUCUUCGCCGGCACCUCGCAAGAGGGUGUUCGAUCGGCCGCUCUGUGCUGCAAACCGUCUCGCGCAGAGACAACCCUUUUUGACAACUUGACCUCAAAUCGAGUAGGACUACCCGCUGAACUUAAGCAUAUCAAUAA